GAAUUUCCUGCCUAGAGAGGAUGCUUAGACAAGUCCACCUUUCUCUCCUCUAACAUGCCAGAGGAUGUUACCAGGGGCAGCUGGCUUUGCAGAAAUAUAGUUGGAGAUGACCCCCAGGAAAAAAAAAAAAGAAAACUUCUCCUUCAGUGUGUUCCCCACUGAGCAGCAAGAGGUGGUGGUACAAAUGGUUGAGAGCAGACAUUACAAUGCACAAGGACCCAGAUUCAAGCCCCCAGACAGCAACUGGAGGGAGGAAACUUCAGGAGGUU